AUUGAACGCUGGCGGCAUGCUUUACACAUGCCAGUCGAACGGUAACAGGCCGCAAGGUGCUGACGAGUGGCGAACGGGUGAGUAAUGCAUCGGAACGUGCCCAGUCGUGGGGGAUAACUACUCGAAAGAGUGGCUAAUACCGCAUACGAUCUAUGGAUGAAAGCGGGGGACCGUAAGGCCUCGCGCGAUUGGAGCGGCCGAUGUCAGAUUAGGUAGUUGGUGGGGUAAAGGCUCACCAAGCCAACGAUCUGUAGCUGGUCUGAGAGGACGACCAGCCACACUGGGACUGAGACACGGCCCAGACUCCUACGGGAGGCAGCAGUGGGGAAUUUUGGACAAUGGGCGCAAGCCUGAUCCAGCAAUGCCGCGUGCAGGAAGAAGGCCUUCGGGUUGUAAACUGCUUUUGUACGGAACGAAACGGCUCUGGUUAAUACCCGGGGCUAAUGACGGUACCGUAAGAAUAAGCACCGGCUAACUACGU
rnacentral:rRNA from 1 species